rnacentral:rRNA from 1 species
ACGAACGCUGGCGGCGUGCCUAACACAUGCAAGUCGAGCGGAGACAGGGAGUAGCUUGCUAUGAACUGUUUUAGCGGCGGACGGGUGAGUAACGCGUGAGCAACCUUUCCCAGACAGGGGAAUAACACACCGAAAGGUGUACUAAUACCGCAUAAGACCACGGGAUCACAUGGUUCUGGGGUAAAAGAUUUAUCGGUUUGGGGUGGGCUCGCGUCCGAUUAGGUAGUUGGUGAGGUAACGGCCCACCAAGCCGACGAUCGGUAGCCGACCUGAGAGGGUGAUCGGCCACAUUGGGACUGAGACACGGCCCAAACUCCUACGGGAGGCAGCAGUGGGGAAUAUUGGGCAAUGGGGGGAACCCUGACCCAGCAACGCCGCGCGGAGGAAGAAGGUUUUCGGAUCGUAAACUCCUGUCCUUGGAGACGAGUAGAAGACGGUAUCCAAGGAGGAAGCCCCGGCUAACUACGUGCCAGCAGCCGCGGUAAUACGUAGGGGGCAAGCGUUGUCCGGAAUAAUUGGGCGUAAAGGGCGCGUAGGCGGCUCGGUAAGUCUGGAGUGAAAGUCCUGCUUUUAAGGUGGGAAUUGCUUUGGAUACUGUCGGGCUUGAGUGCAGGAGAGGUUAGUGGAAUUCCCAGUGUAGCGGUGAAAUGCGUAGAGAUUGGGAGGAACACCAGUGGCGAAGGCGACUAACUGGACUGUAACUGACGCUGAGGCGCGAAAGUGUGGGGAGCAAACAGGAUUAGAUACCCUGGUAGUCCACACUGUAAACGAUGAAUGCUAGGUGUAGGGGGUAUCGACCCCUUCUGUGCCGCAGUCAACACAAUAAGCAUUCCGCCUGGGGAGUACGGCCGCAAGGUUGAAACUCAAAGGAAUUGACGGGGGCCCGCACAAGCAGCGGAGCAUGUGGUUUAAUUCGACGCAACGCGAAGAACCUUACCAGGUCUUGACAUCCACUUAAACUUACAGAGAUGUAAGGUGUGCUUGCACAAAGUGAGACAGGUGGUGCAUGGUUGUCGUCAGCUCGUGUCGUGAGAUGUUGGGUUAAGUCCCGCAACGAGCGCAACCCUUAUCUUUAGUAGCCAGCGGUCAGGCCGGGCACUCUAGAGAGACUGCCAGGGAUAACCUGGAGGAAGGCGGGGAUGACGUCAAAUCAUCAUGCCCCUUAUGACCUGGGCUACACACGUACUACAAUGGCUAUAACAAAGAGAAGCGAGACCGCGAGGUGGAGCAAAACUCAAAAAAGUAGUCUCAGUUCGGAUUGUAGACUGAAAUUCGUCUACAUGAAGCUGGAAUUGCUAGUAAUGGCAGGUCAGCAUACUGCCGUGAAUACGUUCCCGGGCCUUGUACACACCGCCCGUCACACCAUGAGAGUCGGGAAUACCCGAAGCCUGUGAGCCAACAUAUUUAUAUGAGGCAGCAGUCGAAGGUAGAAUCGAUGAUUGGGGUG